CUUUCUAUUAAAGUCCCAAAUUAAAAAAAAAAUGAUACGUGUACUGUGUACAUCAUAUGAAAUUACUUUAUUUAGAAUUAAAAAUGUUUAAUAAAUUUGGGAUUAAAAAUAAAUGUUCCUAAGAUUUUGGGAAUUUCACCAUUCGCAAUUGGCUCGGAUCAGAGAGGGAUCAAGGGAUUUACUCGAUCAAACAUGCUUCUCGAUCAAUGCGGAGCCGAGACGACAAUAGAACCCAUGGACCACUCAUCGGUGGAUUUGAAAAGUAAGGCGAGAAAGCGUAAGGCCGAGUUCGAGCCGGGAGAGGAGGACGAAGAGGAAGAGAGCGAUGAAGAAGAAGAAGGCGUUGAUGAUGGGAGAGCCAAGAUAGAGGAGGAGCCUGAGGCUAGAAUAGAUUUCUUAAAGGCGCCUGGGAUGUGGACAGCUUCGAUGGUUUGGAGUAUUAUUCAUCUCCGGAGCCGAUACUUUCAUCCUCCGAUGAAGAAUUUUUCCCCGAAGAAGCUAGAGAACACUAUCGCAUCUUUAAACGCCAGAUCAUCGAGAGCAAGGGAUUUUACGGGGGUCGUGAGCUUAAGCCAACUUUUCAUUACAAAGGAAUAAGUCCAAUGAAGUUGGAGCAGAGAGCCCUUCCCAAUCAAAACUACGACAAGAGAUGGUUUAUGUUUAUGUUUGUCUCCAAAAACUCAACCACGACAAGCAUUCGAAUGUGGAGUUCGUUGAAGUUGUGAGAGGUUAUUGUCGCCCAGGACCUAGAUCAAAGUCAUACAUUACCUUUAUGGCCAGGGAGAAGCCUGAUGGACCUCUUGUGGAGUAUCAAGCCAAGUGUAUGGUUACCUUGGACAGAAAGAGGCAUCCCAUCCUCUGUAGACCGGCUCCUACGCCAAUGCCUUGAUACCAAAAGUUGUUCAAUCAAUCAAGGAUAGGAUUGGGGGACUCAAAAGGAUGGACUUGGCAAAGGGCGCUGUUAUAACAAGUCAGAUUAUCUCGUUUCUAAUGAUCUAGUGGAUGCAACAUUUUAACUUGUGGUCUUAAUAGUCUCGUCUGUUUUUGUUUGGUUAUCUAUCAUGUGUCGACACUUCGGUAGUAUUUAUUAAGAGCACUAUUUCUUUUCUUUUAGGUUUGCUUUGGUUUCAGUUUGUUUAUCUAAAACUUGUGUUCAUUACUGCCAUACUUGAGGGAAUAGAGCAAUGUAGUUUCUCAAAGACGUUAACCA